rnacentral:rRNA from 1 species
UUUUCCGGUUGAUCCUGCCGCCGGCCACCGCUAUCAAGUUCCGACUAAGCCAUGCGAGUCAAGGUAUCGUAAGAUGCCGGCAAACUGCUCAGUAACACGUGGAUAAUCUAACCUUGAGUAAGGGAUAACCUCGGGAAACUGAGGAUAAUACCUUAUAAUUGCUUAAAACUGGAAUGUUUAAGCAAUAAAAGUUCCGACGCUCAAGGAUGAGUCUGCGACCUAUCAGGUAGUAGGUGGUGUAAUGGACCACCUAGCCUCAGACGGGUACGGGCCCUGGGAGGGGUAGCCCGGAGAUGGACUCUGAGACAUCAGUCCAGGCCCUACGGGGCGCAGCAGGCGCGAACACUGUGCAAUGCGCGAAAGCGCGACACGGGGAGCUUGGGUGUCUUGGCAUAGCCAAGACUUUUCUCAUUCCUAAAAAGCAUGAGGAAUAAGUGCUGGGUAAGACGGGUGCCAGCCGCCGCGGUAACACCCGCAGCACAAGUGGUGGUCACUUUUAUUGAGCCUAAAGCGUUCGUAGCCGGUUUUGUAAAUCUUUAGAUAAAGCCUGAAGCUUAACUCCAGAAAGUCUGAAGAGACUGCAAGACUUGAGAUCGGGUGAGGUUAAACGUACUUUCAGGGUAGGGGUAAAAUCCUGUAAUCCCGGAAGGACGACCAGUGGCGAAAGCGUUUAACUAGAACGAAUCUGACGGUAAGGAACGAAGGCUAGGGUAGCAAACCGGAUUAGAUACCCGGGUAGUCCUAGCUGUAAACACUGCCCAUUUGAUGUUGCUUUUCCGUUGAGGGAAGGCAGUGUCGGAGCGAAGGUGUUAAAUGGGCCGCUUGGGAAGUAUGGUCGCAAGACUGAAACUUAAAGGAAUUGGCGGGGGAGCACCGCAACGGGAGGAAUGUGCGGUUUAAUUGGAUUCAACGCCGGG